UAAUCUCAGUAAUCCAUGCCGAAUGGAAACGCAGUUGUCGAAUUCCGCUUCGUGUGAGAAUACUGAAAAAUAGUCAGUGUGUUGUGGAGUCCAACACAUACACAUCAACAAAGUUUUUGUUGAGUAGUUAUAAGCAAAAAGUGUAAAUAUUUUUAGUUAUGUUUAAGUAAAAAGUGGAUUUUUUUUAAAACACUCGAAAUCCGCCCGUUCCUACCAUAGCAGAGCCUCUUUUAUUCCCUCUUGGGGGCAUCUUUCAAUGAUGCCCUUGAGAGAUCCGAGAAGUUGUAGGUGAGAUGAUCCAGGGUUUGCGAGGACCACACAGGAUAUACAGUCAAAGGUGCAGCAGCCAAAUACGCCGCCACAUAUGCCGCCACAUAUGCCGCCACAUACUAAAAACACAGGAUACAUGGACACGAUUUUGAUUUGAAGUGUGGAGUGGAGAGCGUGGACACUAACCAUACAGUAUACUGUAU